rnacentral:rRNA from 1 species
UCUAGUGACGAUGGCGAAGAGGUCACACCCGUUCCCAUACCGAACACGGAAGUUAAGCUCUUCAGCGCCGAUGGUAGUUGGGGGCUUCCCCCUGCGAGAGUAGGACGUCGCUAGGC